rnacentral:rRNA from 1 species
UCUUGGUCAUUUAGAGGAAGUAAAAGUCGUAACAAGGUCUCCGUAGGUGAACCUGCGGAGGGAUCAUUACCGAGUGAGGGUCCUUGUGGCCCGACCUCUCCACCCUUUGCUGUGACCGUAACCGUCCGUCUGUCGCCUCGGGGGACCCCGACGUUCGCGUCGGCCCCCCGGCGUGCCAACCAACCUCUGCAUCUUCAGUCGUCUGAGUCAUAUUGCAAAAUAAAGCAAAACUUUCAACAACGGAUCUCUUGGUUCUGGCAUCGAUGAAGAACGCAGCGAAAUGCGAUAAGUAAUGUGAAUUGCAGAAUUCCGUGAAUCAUCGAAUCUUUGAACGCACAUUGUGCCCCUUGGUAUUCCGGGGGGCAUGCCUGUUCGAGCGUCAUUACAACCCUCAAGCACAGCUUGGUAUUGGGCUUCGCCGCUAACCCGGCGGGCCUUAAAAUCAGUGGCGGUGCCGUCGAGGCCCUGAGCGUAGUAAAUAUCCUCGCUUCUGGGACCCGGCGGUCGCUUGCCAGCAACCCCCAACUUUCUAAGUUUGACCUCGGAUCAGGUAGGGAUACCCGCUGAACUUAAGCAUAUCAAUAAGCGGAGGA